GACGAACGCUGGCGGCGUGCUUAACACAUGCAAGUCGAACGGAAAGGCCCUGCUUUUGUGGGGUGCUCGAGUGGCGAACGGGUGAGUAACACGUGAGUAACCUACCCUUGACUUUGGGAUAACUUCAGGAAACUGGGGCUAAUACCGGAUAGGAGCUCCUGCUGCAUGGUGGGGGUUGGAAAGUUUCGGCGGUUGGGGAUGGACUCGCGGCUUAUCAGCUUGUUGGUGGGUAGUGGCUUACCAAGGCUUUGACGGGUAGCCGGCCUGAGAGGGUGACCGGCCACAUUGGGACUGAGAUACGGCCCAGACUCCUACGGGAGGCAGCAGUGGGGAAUAUUGCACAAUGGGCGGAAGCCUGAUGCAGCAACGCCGCGUGCGGGAUGACGGCCUUCGGGUUGUAAACCGCUUUCGCCUGUGACGAAGCGUGAGUGACGGUAAUGGGUAAAGAAGCACCGGCUAACUACGUG
rnacentral:rRNA from 1 species